UAAGGUCGGCAGCGAGUCAGACGCACACCAGUGCAGAGGGAAUCCGGUGAGAGUCCGGAGCUGUCGCGCAGCGGUAUGGGUGACUGACGGGGUGAGAUCCACUGGGCCACGAGGCCUGGGAAGGGACCCCGUCGGGACGACCCCGAGUCCGAAGACCUGCUGACUCGCUGGACCCCGA
rnacentral:ncRNA from 1 species